GGCCCCCGGCCAUUUGGUGUGGGCCCGCACCCCGCUCUCCCGCCAAACCCGCUGUCGUCUGGGCCCCCCUCCACGGCGGGUCCCAGCUCAAGGGGAGGGGCCACCCCAGCCCUAGGCUGCCCUCGGGGGUCACCCCGCCCUGCCCGGCCUCCAGCCACCUCCUCUCCCGUUUCCACCGGAGACUGCCCGUGUGGACCUGGCCUGCCGUGUGGACCUGGCCUGCCGUGGGCGCGCAGUGUGGCCCGUGAGGGGGUGGGGCCGGCGGUGGCGCCGUCGGGGAGCCCUCCCGGCCAGGCCCGCGCCCUCCGCAGCAGCCCAGGCACAGACCUGGCGGGGGAUGGCGCGACGUCACGCCGCACCUGCCAGCUCCGCGGGGCCGCGGUGGGGGGCGUCUGGGCCCCGGGCAUCCCAGGACCAGCCCUGCGGGAGGGGCACCGUGCGCCCUCGUGGCCCCACCCACCUCACCUGUCGGGCCGUACCUGCGGGGGGGGGGGGGCGGUGCAAGGUGACUCAGCGGGCAGCGCGGUGGGGGAAGGGAGCGCCCGGGGCCUGAACCGGGCGGGGGGUGGGGUGGGGAGAGCUUCGCGAGCGUGGGGGGGGGCAGACACGACCUGGUUUCCAGCGCGGGCCUCUCAGAGCCCUUCAUACCCACCUGCGCCGCGGCCUGCGGCCGGGACCCCACAAGGCACACGGGGCGAGGCCGGCGCGGUGUCCCCGACGCCACGGGCCUGGGCCUGGACCUGGACGGACAGCGCGCUCGCCUGCUUCCCUCCUCCCCUCCCUCCUCCCCUCCCUCCUCUCCUCCCUCCCUCCACUCGCUCCUCCGCGGGCGCAGCUGCGUCCCCGGCCUCGGAGGGUCGCGCGGAGGCGCACGCUCGGCCCCCCACCCCUCCCCGGGCAGGGAAGCUCGCCGGCGACGCGGGGUCCUCGGGAGCGCCCCUCCGGCCUGGCGAGCCCCCGCCCGUGCCACGCGCCCCCGCCCGCCGCAGCCCCCGGGCCUGGAGCGCCCGC
rnacentral:lncRNA from 1 species